GGGACGAACGCUGGCGGCGUGCUUAACACAUGCAAGUCGAGCGGGAAGCCGUUCGGGUAACGUCGAGCGGCGAACGGGUGAGUAACACGUGAGCAAUCUGCCCUUAGCUUCGGGAUAGCUCCGGGAAACCGGAAUUAAUACCGGAUAUGACUAUGGCUGACAUCAGCCACGGUGGAAAGUUUUUCGGCUAGGGAUGAGCUCGCGGCCUAUCAGCUAGUUGGUGGGGUAACGGCCUACCAAGGCGACGACGGGUA
rnacentral:rRNA from 1 species